CCUUCAGCGCCCGCUUGGCCUGUCUUCCUAAAUAUUAGGAUAAUAAAUAGAAAUGGCAGCAGGACGCGCGGGGGCCACGUGACCGGCCCCACGAAAGCCACUUG
rnacentral:lncRNA from 1 species